AUAACGGUCCUAAGGUAGCGAAAUUCCUUGUCGGGUAAGUUCCGACCCGCACGAAAGGCGUAAUGAUUUGAGCACUGUCUCGACAAUGCAUCCGGUGAAAUUGAAGUACCAGUGAAGAUGCUGGUUACCCGCGCCAGGACGGAAAGACCCCAUGGAGCUUUACUCCAGUUUGAUACUGGGAUUCGGUACUGCAUGUACAGGAUAGGUGGGAGACUGAGAAAUUGGAACGCCAGUUUCAAUGGAGUCACUGUUGGGAUACCACCCCUGCAGUAUUGGGUUUCUAACCAGCCGCUGUGAUCCAGCGGUGGGACAAUGCCAGGCGGGGAGUUUGACUGGGGCGGUCGCCUCCGAAAGGGUAUCGGAGGCGCUCAAAGGUUCCCUCAGAAUGGUCGGAAACCAUUUGAAGAGUGCAAAGGCAGAAGGGAGCUUGACUGCGACACCGACGGGUGGAGCAGGUACGAAAGUAGGACUUAGUGAUCCGGUGGUAUAAAGUGGGAUUGCCAUCGCUCAACGGAUAAAAGCUACCCUGGGAUAACAGGCUUAUCACUCCCAAGAGUUCACAUCGACGGAGUGGUUUGGCACCUUGAUGUCGGCUCAUCGCAUCCUGGGGCUGUAGUAGGUCCCAAGGGUUGGGCUGUUCGCCCAUUAAAGCGGUACGCGAGCUGGGUUCAGAACGUCGUGAGACAGUUCGGUCCCUAUCCGGCGCGGGCGGAGGAUAUUUGAGAGGAGCUGUCCUUAGUACGAGAGGACCGGGAUGGACGGACCACUGGUGUAUCUGUUGUCGACCAACGGCAUGGCAGAGUAGCCAAGUCUGGAAGGGAUAAACGCUGAAGGCAUCUAAGCGUGAAGCCCCCCUCAAGAUGAGAUAUCCCUCAGAAAUGAGUAAGACCCCUUGAAGACUACGAGGUAGAUAGGAAUGAGGUGUAAGCACAGCAAUGUGUUCAGCUGACAUUUACUAAUCGGUCGAGGG
rnacentral:rRNA from 1 species